UUGUAAACCGUAAAUGAAUAAGAUGAGUUGGCUUCUGGGAAUAGAUGACUUGAGAUCCCCGAGUCAGAAAUUUUCAGAAGCUUUCGGUGAUUUGUGUCUUUUCAGAAGUUCUCAGAAUCGGAAAAUAAAGCACGUAUUUACUUUUGGAACAACAUAGGUACGAUGAAUGAAAACCAAAUUGUUGUUAGGCAUGAAUCAGAAGGUGGCAAGACUCCCACAACGCGUGACGAAUCACAAGAUGUUAGUACGAUUACAAAGACCAUUAAAGGCCGUGGUCCGUCAAAAGGUGUUAAAGUCGC